rnacentral:rRNA from 1 species
UUAAAUUGAAGAGUUUGAUCAUGGCUCAGAUUGAACGCUGGCGGCAGGCCUAACACAUGCAAGUCGAACGGUAACAGAAAGCAGCUUGCUGCUUUGCUGACGAGUGGCGGACGGGUGAGUAAUGUCUGGGAAACUGCCUGAUGGAGGGGGAUAACUACUGGAAACGGUAGCUAAUACCGCAUAACGUCGCAAGACCAAAGAGGGGGACCUUCGGGCCUCUUGCCAUCGGAUGUGCCCAGAUGGGAUUAGCUAGUAGGUGGGGUAAAGGCUCACCUAGGCGACGAUCCCUAGCUGGUCUGAGAGGAUGACCAGCCACACUGGAACUGAGACACGGUCCAGAC